AGUACUGCAGUAAUAACGAUUUUUUUUCUGAUGGAAAUAAAAGAAAGACCUUCACGUCGCAGGCGUACCUGAUUUGUUGGCAUAUUCUCCAUUGGCCAAAGUUGGUAGUUCAAGUCCACAUCGACGCAUAGUUAUAAAAUGAGUAACGGCUUACUUUUUCAUCGCUCGUUGUGUGACAAGUUUCCAAUCGAUUCCUGGAGGUACCUUCACUGAAAUAAUCGUACGCAAACGAUUCUCCGGAUUUGAAAUAAAGAAUUCCAAACCACGGGCAGCAAGGCGCUUUUCCAACCU